rnacentral:rRNA from 1 species
UUGAUUAAUUACAAUUUUAUUCGCCAGGGAACUACGAGCGUCAGCUUAAAACCCAAAGGACUUGGCGGUGCCCUACACCUCCUAGAGGAGCCUGUUCUAUAAUCGAUGAUCCACGAUACACCUCACCGUUUCUUGCCAAAACCGCCUAUAUACCGCCGUCUCCAACUUACCCUAUGAAGGAUUUACAGUAAGUUCAAAGAUCACUCAUCAGAACGUCAGGUCAAGGUGUAGCGAAUGAAACGGGAAGAAAUGGGCUACAUUUUCUAUUUUAGAUCACACGGACAGUCAGUAUGAAACCUGAUUAUGAAGGAGGAUUUAGCAGUAAAAAGAAAUCAGCAAGUUCUUUUUAAGUCGGACCUAGGGCGCGUACACACCGCCCGUCACCCUCUUCAACUCAUUUCACCCUAUUUAUAAUAAAAUAAUUGGAGAUAAGAAGAGGCAAGUCGUAACAUGGUAAGUAUACCGGAAGGUGUACUUGGAAC